rnacentral:rRNA from 1 species
AAACUGGGAUUAGAUACCCCACUAUGCAUAACCGUAAACAUUGAUAGCAAUUCACUCGCAAUCCGCCAGGGAACUACAAGCACUGGCUUGAAACCCAAAGGACUUGGCGGUGCUUUAGACCCACCUAGAGGAGCCUGUUCUA